UCCCUGGACGGAAGCAAACGGCCCACUCAGGGCACACUCGUGCCGGGGGUUUCCGUCAGAGGGCUGAGGACAGCCUGUGUGCCGAGACCCAGGUCCCCGGGGCAGCCACAGCCCCGGGCCCAUCCUGUCACCAGCUGUGACUCGUCACACGCCUGGUCUGUCCCUCCCAUCCCUGUGCCAUCGCCCUUUGUUUCUUUAAUGUCUUCCCCUGUGCCCUCCAAACAGCCUUGUGCUUCCUGUUGUCCGAUGACCUUCUUAAUUAGCCACCCUUCACUUUGUGUUUGUAACUAUCUUGCUAAUUAUAGACACAACUAAUUAAACGACAGCAACAGACGACCUCCAAGCGCCAAGGAAAUAAGCCCCAUGGAGGCUGGAAGAGCCGGGACCACAGCCCUGCGGUGACAGAGCCACCAGUCUGACCACCACGCCCCGUGGCCCCCCCUUCCCCACCGGUUUUUCUAACCGGCUCACGUCAGCCCCAUCUUGAACUCUCAUCAAGACCUCCUUCUCGCACUUCUUAAAAUUAAAAACAUUUCAGGUUGGCCUUACACAUACUUGAUUCCAUAUUCAAAAGGACAGGAACGUAUGUGACAAGUUUCCUCUCGUGCCCUGCCCCCACUGCCCAACUAUCCCCCCCUAAAGAACACCAUGGAAAUCACUGUCCCCAAGGCAGUCCCUCCUCCUGGCAAAAUGCUCUCUCCCUCUGUGGGCCCAAGAGCUUCCCCACCUCUGCGGCCCCUGCUUCUGAAAGCCACAGCCAGUAGGAGUGCAAUUCUGCAACUCCUCUGCACGCGGUCUCUGUGCCGCCACAUUCAGCGUCUGAGGUCAGGACAGGUCGUUCCUGGUCCAGAUGACUCUCAGGGGCCCCGGCCUCGACUUCGGCGGUGCGCCCGGCCCGCCAGCUUCCCAGUAGGCUCUCUCAACUCAAAUGACCACACCGUCAGUCUACUCAAAACCCUUCACGUGGGUCUUCUCUUCCCACAGGAUUAAGUCCAAAGAACUCAACCAGCGUUCCAGACCCUUCUCCGAUGUCACGCUCACUUGCUUUCAAGGCGGGUCUCUCCUGGCGCAUCUUAGGGUUCUCCCAGUUUUGCUACGAAGGGCACCAGACAAGGGACAGCUGGCAGACCGUGUGAGCUCCAGAAAGGAUUUUGUAAAGCUGGGGCACAGGGCAUGACUGUGCGCUAUCAGGAAUGGACAGCAGGCACAUGACGACGCAGGAAGAGACAGAGACACAGAGACACAUGAUGGCAGAGGCAAAGUCAAGAAGGCCACCACUGCACUCGGACACGCCACGCGGCUGGAGAGCAGGCUGUGCGCAGAUGCAGGGGCACAGAGGUGAGCAGGUUUAAUGGUGGGGGGAGCGGGCUGCCAUCUCCCUGUGCUUCGAGACACCUCGGUGGGUCUCCCGUUGAGGCCGACUGCCCGUUGCCUUCCCGGGGCAGCUAAGACCACAUGCACCCUUCCACCCUGGACCCGAGUCUUAAUACCGGCUCCGUUGUCGAGAGCCACAGAGCCUCUUGGAACCUCAAUGUUCUCUGCCCUGAAAUGAGGGAUUUGUGGGUGCCAAAAACGUCCAGAUCCACUCUCAGGUUAAAAGGGCUGAUAUCCCCAAAGCUCUUAACGCAAAGCAGACACGAAAUAAAUGUGACCUCACGGACAAGCACAGCCUCCCUACAUGAAAAUGGCAAAGUGAAAACAACAUCACGUGGUCUCCAGCGUCCCAGAGAGCGUGCUGAUCCGCACCCCGUGACAUCAGCAUGAAGCCCGCCUCACAAAUGAGGAAACAGAAGCUCACAAAGCCUAAGAUCACACAGGGCAAAUGAGAAGGGGCCUCACCCCGAGGCCCUGUUGCGAGCAGAGCGUGCGGUCCCACCCCGAGACACAGACUAAACCCGCACUCACAGAGCAGAGUACGCAAAGCGCGUAAAUCACGGAGAUGCAUUGGUGGCCAGUUUCUGUGCACGUGUCUGUUACUCUCUACUAGACCACCAGGUCCACAGGAUCUACUUUAGGACCCGACGUUCCACAAAUGCUUAGCAAACGGCUGCUGAAUGAAUCAACCAACCAAUAUUCGGGGAUAAAACACCUGUUUCACCCUGGCUUUUGCACCAAGUGCAUCUAACACACACUAAAAAACAGAAGCUUUUUUCCCGACACAUCCACCACUGCCACUCCUUCCCCAGACCACAGGGCUGCGGCGUCACACUUACCCACUUGUUUCUGUGGUUGACGUGGGCUCCGCUGGUUGCCAGGAAAAGAGCCGCUGCCUCGUUCCCUGCUUCGGCCGCCCGCUGUAGUAGGCAGUUCCCUGGGAGACAACGGGCAGAGACACAAGCCCUUCCUCGCCGCCGCCUUCCACAACUGACGAGCCCACGUGGGACGUCCACACAGGCCCUCCCUACAGGCGGACGCAGACACCGCAUGGCCUGGGAGGAGCAGAGGCUUGGUCUGGCCGUCAGGAGACGUUCAUUCUUCCCAGAGCUGUCCCCCAGACGCCACCAGGACCGGAGGGAAGCUACGUCUCCCGCCAAGGUCUCAACACAACGCGCCUGACGUUUUGGGCCAGGGAGAGUGUGACUCCACCCCAGGCAUGAGCCAUCCUAACCCAGAGACCCUAACAAGCGCCCUGUGGCCCUUCUGGCACACACAAGACGUAAACGUGGCCUCCCUAUCGAACAAAGAUGACCUUCGACGGCUGACACAUAAGAAAUGCUGAGGAACGGUGCACUAAGGCCAGCCAUUCUAAGCAUACUGAAAAAUGGAACAAAGGAAAAAUAACCCUGAACUUGUACUAAAACUCGAAGAAUAAAGUAUUGACAGAACUAGCAAGACAACAGAUAAACCCAUAAUCACGAUGAAGAAUUUUAAUAUAUUCCCAAAAUUGAUAGGUCAAGCAGUC